rnacentral:rRNA from 1 species
CCUACGGGAGGCAGCAGUAGGGAAUAUUGCUCAAUGGGGGAAACCCUGAAGCAGCAACGCCGCGUGGAGGAUGAAGGUUUUCGGAUUGUAAACUCCUUUUGUUAGAGAAGAUAAUGACGGUAUCUAACGAAUAAGCACCGGCUAACUCCGUGCCAGCAGCCGCGGUAAUACGGAGGGUGCAAGCGUUACUCGGAAUCACUGGGCGUAAAGAGCGCGUAGGCGGGAUAGCAAGUCAGGUGUGAAAUCCUAGGGCUUAACCAUAGAACUGCAUUUGAAACUGUUAUUCUAGAGUAUGGGAGAGGUAGGUGGAAUUCUUGGUGUAGGGGUAAAAUCCGUAGAGAUCAAGAGGAAUACUCAUUGCGAAGGCGACCUGCUAGAACAUAACUGACGCUGAUGCGCGAAAGCGUGGGGAGCAAACAGGAUUAGAUACCCCUGUAGUC